CAUGCCGUAAACGUUGGGCGCUAGAUGUGGGGACCAUUCCACGGUUUCCGUGUCGUAGCUAACGCAUUAAGCGCCCCGCCUGGGGAGUACGGCCGCAAGGCUAAAACUCAAAGGAAUUGACGGGGGCCCGCACAAGCGGCGGAGCAUGCGGAUUAAUUCGAUGCAACGCGAAGAACCUUACCAAGGCUUGACAUAUACCGGAAACGUUCAGAAAUGUUCGCCCCGCAAGGUCGGUAUACAGGUGG
rnacentral:rRNA from 1 species